rnacentral:rRNA from 1 species
GAUGAACGUUGGCGGCGUGCCUAAUACAUGCAAGUCGAACGAAGACUGUAGUAAUACUGUCUUAGUGGCGAACGGGUGAGUAACGCGUGGGUGACCUGCCCCGAAGUGUGGGAUAACAGUUCGAAAGAACUGCUAAUACCGCAUAAUAUCCAAGAGAUUAGACGCUUUUUGGAUUAAAGGAGUAAUUCGCUUCGGGAGGGGCCCGCGUCCCAUCAGCUAGUUGGUAAGGUAAUGGCUUACCAAGGCGAUGACGGGUAGGGGACCUGAGAGGGUGGCCCCCCAAAUGGAACUGAAACACGGUCCAUACACCUACGGGUGGCAGGCAGUAGGGAAUAUUGCAAAUGGGCGAAAGCCUGAUGUAGCAACGCCGCGUGUGCGAUGAAGGUCUUCGGAUUGUAAAGCACUUUUUGGAGGGAUGAGAAGGACAGUACCUCCAGAAUAAGCCUCGGCUAACUACGUG